AUUUCAAAUUAAUACUGCUCCCAACUAAAAAAAAUUCAGUAUGUUGUCAAAAUUUUCAUUUGAAUUUCAAUUUCGUGUGUUAUGACAAUAUAAUUGUUUUGAAUUUGAAAAAUUCAAACUGCGACCAAAGAUAGAAAGAGGAAAAUGAAAAUCUAAAUUCCCUUCCUUCUUAUCAUUAUUGUUAGUUAUAUUAAAUAUUUCCAUGAUUGAAUAAAAUUUAGUAACUAGUUAUUAACAUUCAAAGUUUUCAAGAGAUCAUUUUUAUAAUUUUAAAUUCAAUUUCCAAAUCUGAUGGCUUAAAACACCACUUUAAAUCAUUCAUAUAAGCAAUGACUAAAAAGAUGGAGCGAGUUUAUAUAAUACAAUUAGUUGUAAGGUUCUUUGUUUUCUGUUGACUUACACCAGGCAUGAUGUUGGACACACCACAUAUACCAUUCCUUAAAGAAUUCUGUGUUGUACUGUUCCAUCAUUAAGUUUUUUUGAGCUAAUAAUAGCUGGAGGUGGGUGGUCACUGCUGUCAGUUGCAGAAACAUUAUGAUUGUAAGAGUUUACACCUUCAUCAAUCCUUAAAUCACAAGUAGUUCUUUGAGGGAUACUCCAGAUUCUUGGUUGUUGCCACUUGCUCAAGCAAACCAGUAAGACAUCAGUAUCAGUUGAUUAAAUUUACCCUAGUAUAUUACUGGCAUUUUAUUUACCUCAGAAAGAUAAAAGGCAAAUUUGACUUUGGCAGGAUUUGAACUCCUAAUGUAAAGCACUGGAAAAAAAUAUCACUAUGUAUUUUGUCCACUGCUUUAAGGAUUUUUUUCUAAUCAACCACCUGGUGUAAAGUUAUAAGUACUAGAAGUUUGAGCUAAGAACCACAUGUUCAGGACCCUACUUCAUAACAACAGCCCUUAUUGUUUCAUGCUUAAAAGCAUGACUUAAGUCUGUAUCUGAUACUCUGUUUGUUAUGAAAUUGAUCAAGUAACCAACAAAUAAAUACCCCAUUCUCUCCUACUUCAUAGUUAAGUAGCUUAACAGUUGAAGAAGAGAAAUUCUUGGCUGCAAGAAAAAAUUAAACAAAAUUGCUCUAAAGCUGCAAAAAAAAAAAAAAAGAAAAGAAAAAGAAAAAAAGAAAAAAGUAAAAAGUAAAAAGUCUCCUUCUUCUUGGAAAAAAAUCCAUAGUUGCAUAACAGUGUAAAAAAUAUAUUUUGUAAGUUGUUAUUAGUUUGGAACAAGGCUACUUCUAAUGAAAGGGAUUUAAAAAUCUAAUACUAAUGAACAUUUUUUGCAAAAACCAACUCUUCAGGUUCUAAUCUAUAACAAAUUCUUCAAUUCACUAGGAAAUUUUAAUCUAUGAAUAGAAAUUGAAAAGUGAUGUUAACUGAUGUGAGAGAAAUUUAAAAAAAAAAACACAGUUUCAUUUGGUUACUAAAAAGUGCAUUUUGUGAUAUCAAUAUAACAGCCAAAUCAUCUUCAAAAAAUUCACUUGUCUUUUAAAAUAGGGACCACACAAAACAAGCAAAACAUCUUUUUACAUUUUUGUUGACCUACUAGACAUUCUUUAACAAAUUCCUUACUACUUUUUUUUUAACAGAUUUUAUUUAUUUGUUUUCAGGAAGGGAUUGCAGGAGCUGGCUGAGUUAAGAAAUCUUUGUGCAGUUGCUCAAACCAGUUGACAUAACAGCAAACUUUAACCCCAAUAGAAUUCCACAACUGGCUGUAAAAUAGUGAUUGUAACAUCCACCAAGAGAAUAUUUACUUCCAAGUGCUCAACUCACAAAACAUAAAGUUUCAUAACUAAUGGAUUGACUUAAAAGUUUUAAAUGAAAAAGGAAAAACCAACUCUGUUAGGUUUUGAAUGCAAAGGGAUGUGAUAAAAUACCACAAGAUAUUUGUCAGACACUCUACCAGUACUACUUUUCCACUAUAAUAAUAAUAAUAAUAAUAAUAAUAAUAACAAUAAUAACAAUAAUAAUAAUAAUCCUUUCCAUUAUAGGCACAAGGCCCGAAGUUUUGGGGGAGGGGAUUAGACGAUUACAUUGACCCCCUAGAAUUUCAUUGGUACUUAAUUUAUCAAUCCCAAAAGGAUGAAAGGCAAAGUUGACCUCAGUGGGAUUUCAACUCAGAACAUAAAGGGGUAGAAGAAAUGCUUCUAAGCGUUUUGUUUGACCCACUAAUGAUUCUCCAAGCUUGCUUUUUUUUAAUAAUAAUUGUAUCUAACUCAGGCAUAGAACCUAGAAUUUGGUGGGAAAGGAUUAGUUGAAUGCAUCAACUCAAGUACUUAGCUGGUACUUGGAGGGAUGAAAGGCAAAAUUGUCCUUGGUAGGAUUUGAACCCAGAACAUAAAAAGUCAGAAGAAAUACUGCAAGGUAUUUUAUCCAAUGCUUAAUAAUAUAAAUAAUAAUGAUUUACAACUUAGGCAUAAGGCCACAAAUUUUGUGCGAUAGGAACAAUCAAUUAAAUCAACUAUGGAAGGACGAAAGAUAAAUUUGUCAAAUAUUGGAAAAAUUUGAACAUGGAAUAUAACUGCAAGGCAUUUAAUCAGUUACCAUAGUGAUUUACUAAUUCACUGGCAUAAUAAUAAUAACAAUAAUAAAAAAAAAAAAAUAAUAAUAAUAAUAAUAAUCUUUCCUACUGUAGGCACAAGGCCUGAAACUUUGUUUGGGUGGGACCAGUUGAUAACAUCGACCCCACCAGUAUUCAAAUGGUACUUAUUUUAUCAAUCCUGAAAGGAGGAAAGGUAAAGUCAACCUUGGCAGUAUUUGAACUCAGAACAUAAUGCCAGAAGAGAUGCUGUUAAGCAUUUUGUUUAGUAUGGUAAAAUAAUAAUAAUAAUAAUAAACCUUUCUACAAUAGGCACAAAGCCUGGAAUUUUGGAGUGGAAGGGGGGGUGCUAGUGUCAAUUAUAUCGACUCCCCAGUACUUGACUGGUACUUAUUUCAUCCACCUACAAAGGAUGAAAGGCAAAGUUGACCUCAGUUGAAUUUGAACUUAGAAUGUAAAGACAGACAAAAUGCUUCUAAGCAUUUGAAACCAUUAUUAUUAUUAUUAUUAUUAUUAUUAUAAGCAUUUUGUCCAGCAUGCUAACGAUUCCACCAGCUUGCACCUUAAUAAUAAUAAUAAUAAUAAUAAUUAUAAUAAUAAUGAUGAUGAUAAUAAUAAUAAUAAUAAUAAUAAUAAUAAUAAUAAUAAUAAUAAUAAUAAUAAUAAUAAUAAUGGUUUCAAAUUUUGACAGAAGACCAGCAAUUUUCAAAAGAAGCGGUUAGUUGAUACCAUCUUGGCUGGUACAUUUUUUUUAUCAACCCUGGAGGAAUGAAAGGUAAUGGUGAUCUUGAAAGGAUUUAGAAAAUAAUAACAAUAAUAAUGGUUUCUGAUUUAGGCACAAAGCCAACAGUUUUUUGAAGGAAGGAAGUUAAUUGAAUAAAUCGACCCUAGUACUUGACUGGUCCUUCAUUUUAUUGCCCCUCACAAGCUAAGGCAGCCUCAGUGGGAUUUGAACUCAGAACGUAAAGAACUGGAAGAAAUAUUGCAAAAGAUUUUUUCCAGUGUUUUCGCAAUUCUGCCACAUAGUAAGAAUAACAACAACAAUAAUGAGUGGUUGGCAUUAGGAAGGGCAUCCAGCUGUAGAAACUUUGCCAGAUCAGAUUGGAGCCUGGUGCAGCCUUCUGGCUCACCAGCCCUCAGUCAAACCGUCCAACCCAUGCCAGCAUGGAAGGUGGACGUUAAAUGACGAUGAUGUAGUAUUCUCGUUUGCUAUGAAUAAUUUCUGUGCAGGUGGCACGUAAAAAGCACCCACUACACUCACGGAGUGGUUGGCGUUAGGAAGGGCAUCCAGCUGUAGAAACAUUGCCAGAUAAGACCGGAGCCUGGUGCAGCCUUCUGGCUUCCCAGAUCCUCGGUCGAACCGUCCAACCCAUGCUAGCAUGGAGAACGGACGUUAAACGAUGAUGAUGAUGAUGAUGAUGAUGACAGCUACAUAUAUUUCAGGUUUUGAAGCUGUAUGGUAGCACAAAAAUGGCAUCUAAUAUAUGCAGUAAAGUGGUUGAUAAUGGGAAGAGAAUCGAAACUAUUCCAAAGCAGACACCAGAGCUAUCCAACCCAUGCCAGCAUGGAACAUGGAGCAUGUUAAAUGAUGAUGAUAAGGGUGAUGAUGAUGACGGUGGUAGUGGUGGUGGUAUAUUGAAUGAUGUGCACAAAAUUUUUUAAUAAAUUAAAAUUUGCCCCAUAGUUGGGAGAAAGAAAAACAAAACAUCAAAUAAUUUGUUAAGUAACUGCUAAAGGGAAAGGGAAAAUAAUUUCUAGACAUUAAGAAUUCAUUUCACAGAUUUUUUUCAAGCUUAGUGGGAAAACCAGAUCUUUGUUUAUCAGGCUAAAUGAUAGAUACAGACAUGUUUCAAUGUUAUUAAACCUCAUUUGCAAAUUAUAGUCUGUUUUCUCAAUGCAGAGAUAUACAGUGGUUACCUCCUCUAAUCAAAAUGGUCAUAAUUUUUUAUAGAGCAGUUCUAAUCAUAUAUUCUAUAUAUUCAGUUCUGUCAUAUAUUCAAAACUAUGAUUUUUCAGUUAUAUAUUCUCAUACAUGAUUUUUUUCCCUCUAACACAAUCUCCAUUCACAAAGUCAUACAGACCACAUUCCCAGAUCUCUAAUUCUAAAACUCUAUUUAUCUUCAGAGUAAAAAGAUUUUCUGCUCUGAAGAAUCAUGAAUUAAUAUCUUCAGCUUUAAAAGUAAAAUUCUUUGGCCUUGUCCCAAUUCACAAAAAUUACCAUUAUGUAAAGGAUGAGCAUUCACUGGAAGAGAUUCUCAGUGGUAGUAAGGCAUAGCAUUUGAAGUAGUUGUAAGGGCUUUAGCUGCAUGCUGCUCGUAUUUAAAGAGGAAGAGGUGUGAUACCAUUUUCUUAAUAUGUGCAGUGCUGCAUUUCUGAUGUUGAAGGAGACAAUAUUGGCAUUACCCACUUCAAGGACAUUUCAAAGAUUUUUUUCAGGGAGUCAGUGCAGAUUUGGUAAGAAAAUUUAGGUUGCAUGUGGUUUGUGCUUGGCUAUAUAUAUAAAUAUAUAUAUAUAUUUAGAAAGUUGCUUGUUAUGGCUGAUUAGAGAGUGGUUUUACACUUAUAAAGCGCUUAGCUGAAUGGGUGACUCAUUAGACUCAAAUGGCCAGAGGCACAUAACGCCUGGCCAUUUCAGUAUGGCAAGUCCCCUAUACAGCUAAGCGCUUAAUUAAUGCAAAACAAUGGUCCUGCUCUGAUCAGCCAUAACAAGCAACCUUCUAAAUAUAUUAUUACUCUAAUGUUUUAGUGUAUGCUUCUUUUUGGAUAUAUGAAUUACUGAUGAUAUAUAUAUAUAUAUAUAUAUAUAUAUAUAUAUAUAUAUAUAUGUGGAGGCGCAAUGGCCUAGUGGUUAGGGUCGCGGUUUCAAUUCCCAGACCGG
rnacentral:lncRNA from 1 species